GGGCAGGCCUAACACAUGCAAGUCGAGCGGUAACAGAUCCAGCUUGCUGGAUGCUGACGAGCGGCGGACGGGUGAGUAACGCAUAGGAAUUUACCCGAUAGUGGGGGAUAACCUGGGGAAACUCAGGCUAAUACCGCAUACGUCCUACGGGAGAAAGGGGGCCUUGGCUCCCGCUAUCGGAUGAGCCUAUGCCGGAUUAGCUGGUUGGUGAGGUAAUGGCUCACCAAGGCGACGAUCCGUAGCUGGUCUGAGAGGAUGAUCAGCCACAUCGGGACUGAGACACGGCCCGAACUCCUACGGGAGGCAGCAGUGGGGAAUAUUGGACAAUGGGGGCAACCCUGAUCCAGCCAUGCCGCGUGUGUGAAGAAGGCCCUCGGGUUGUAAAGCACUUUCAGCGAGGAAGAACGCCUGGCGGUUAAUACCCGCCAGGAAAGACAUCACUCGCAGAAGAAGCACCGGCUAACUCCGUGCCAGCAGCCGCGGUAAUACGGAGGGUGCAAGCGUUAAUCGGAAUUACUGGGCGUAAAGCGCGCGUAGGUGGCUUGAUAAGCCGGUNGUGAAAGCCCCGGGCUCAACCUGGGAACGGCAUCCGGAACUGUCAGGCUAGAGUGC
rnacentral:rRNA from 1 species